GGUGGCUCCCCGCUGGUCAAAGAGUUCUGUGUAAACAUCGAGACAGGACAGAGACUCAACAUCACCUUCACACCAAGCAAAGAUGCUUACGCUUUCAUCAACGGAAUCGAAGUUGUGUCCAUGCCUACCAGUUUUUACUAUACUUCCUCACCUAAUUUCAUUGACACCAGCGCAAGCUCAUAUCCAAUCAGAAACGACACAGCUCUGGAGAUGGUGUACCGAAUCAACGUCGGUGGAGGCCCCAUCGCGCAGGACGAAGACACCGGAAUGUACCGGAAUUGGGACUCGGCCGACGAUAAGUAUUUGGAUGAUCUAAGUGGAAAAUUCAGCGUGCUUCCACAGAACAAUACCAUCGAGCUCAACUUCGUCAGAGUUCCAGAGUACUCUGCUCCGAAACGGGUUUACACAACAGGUCGGUCAAUGGGGAUGAACACAACCAUCAACAAGAGCUAUAACCUCACAUGGAUAUUUCCCUUGGAUCCCAAGUUUUAUUACCUGGUGAGACUCCAUUUCUGUGAGUUUGAAUCUGACAUUACCGAGUCUAGUGAUCGAGCGUUUCAAAUCUUCUUGGCCAAUCAAACCGCAGAACAACUUGCAGAUGUUAUUGUAUGGAGUGGAGCUAAUGGGAAUCCAGUUUACAGAGACUACGUUGUCGGCAUGUUCAUGCCUCCGGUUGGAAGCGAGAAGAAAGUUAAUCUCUAUCUAGUACUGGCAGCGCUACAGAGAGAUUCAUAUACUAGAUACAACGAUGCCAUCUUGAACGGACUAGAAAUCUUCAAGCUCAACGACUCCACUGGAAACCUUGCUGGACCUAACCCUGAUCCAAUAACUCAGGUCGACGCACCAAAGAGUAGUCCUGGUAAGAAAAAGUCUACUCCUAUGGCAGCUAUUAUUGCAGGCGUAGCUUCCGGGCUAGUUGUGCUCUCUGUUCUCGGAUUCUUUAUUUUCCGGCGAGGCAGAAAGGUCAAGGACUCUAGCAGAAGCCAAUCAAAGUGGGGUGUCAUUUCGUUUUCAAUGACUACCAAGUCCACUAAGUCCUACGGUUCAUCUCUGCCGUCCGAGUUGUGUCACCACUUCUCAUUGGCGGAGAUCAGAGCCGCCACGAAUAAUUUUGAUGCUUCCAACAUUAUUGGCCUCGGCGGGUUUGGUAACGUGUACAAAGGUACCAUCAACGGUGCUCCCACCCCCGUUGCGAUCAAACGGCUCAAAGCCGAGUCGUCUCAGGGGGCCCUAGAGUUCAAGACCGAGAUCGACUUGCUCUCCCAACUCCGUCACCUCCAUCUUGUGUCUUUAAUCGGUUAUUGUGACGACGAGGGUGAGAUGAUAUUGGUGUAUGACUACAUGGAAAAUGGGACGUUACGUGAUCAUUUGUACAACACCAAAAGUAUUCCACCUCUUUCUUGGGAACAAAGGCUACAAGCUUGUAUUGGCGCGGCGCGUGGGUUGCACUACCUUCACACCGGUGCUAAGUGCAUGAUCAUCCACCGUGAUGUGAAGAGCACAAACAUCUUGUUGGACGAUAAAUGGGUGGCAAAGGUAUCCGAUUUCGGGUUGUCGAAAAUGGGACCGACGACCAUGUCCAAGACUCACAUUAGCACCGUGGUUAAGGGAAGUUUCGGAUAUCUCGACCCGGAGUACUACCGGCGUCAGCAGCUAACUGAGAAGUCUGAUGUCUAUUCAUUUGGUGUAGUAUUGUGUGAAGUGUUGUGUGCUAGACCGGCUUUGAUACGUACAAAGGAGAAGAAGCAAAUGAACCUAGCUGCAUGGUUUAAGACGUGUUAUGGAAAUGGGACGCUUGACCAAAUCAUUGAUCCAAAUUUGAGGGGUAAGAUUGUGAAUGUGUGCUUGAACAAGUUUGUUGAAGUUGCAAUUAGUUGUAUGCAUGAUAAUGGGAAUGAAAGACCGUCGAUGAAUGAUGUUGUAUGGGCGCUUGAGUUUGCAUUGAAGCUUCAACAGACUGCAGAGGGUUUGGAGUUGGAUUUCAAUGCCGGAAAGAAGAAUGAAGAUGAGGCUCCAUUGGUGAAUGAUAGUGAUGAAAGGUUUAGUGGCAUUUGGGCAGACUCGUCAAGUUCUAAGAACAGCAGGGUGACCAAAACUAGUAGCAGUGACCAGAAUUCUAGUACCAGUGAAUCCAUUAAAGGGUUGUCUGGGACUGUCUUUUCUGAGAUCUAUGAUCCAAAUGGAAGAUGAAUUCGAUCAUAACUGAUCGAUUAGCGAGGCUGUUUUAGGCGGGUAGCGUACUGGUGUUCAAUAAUCUCAAACUCAAUUUGUAAUUAUGUAGUUUGCUUUGAUCAAUUAAAGUGUUCUGUGAUGAACACAAUCUCAACUCAAUUUGUAAUUAUGUAGUUUGCUUUGAUCAAUCCAAGCGUACUGUCAUGAAGUAAUUUUGAACGGGGAUAUACAUCAUUUGCGAAUUUAGCUUAUCUGCUUGGAUUCAAUGUUUGCUUAAAUCAGAAAGUUUAUGGAAAAAAAAAACUGUUAUAUGUGAUUGAUUGUGCAAUCUGCUUCGUUUUGGUUUAUGCAAUUUGUCUAGCUUAUGGCAAAUAGGAAAAGUUGUCCUAUCCCACAGAAUGAAUUUAUAACUUGCUAGAGGGAGUUUUUAUACUAAUAAGACAAAUACAUAAAAAUAGAAAUGCUUCUCGUUGCAGACAGUCUUCAAAUGUGAAUGCAAAAGAAGUUUAUUCGUGAAGUCCACAGCUCAUGCCAUUAGAUUCAAUGAUCAUGUCCCCCGCCCCCGCUUCUCCUCCAGCAUUAUUAGUUUUCCGAUAAGAUAGCAUCUAAGGGUAUUUCUCCUCCAGAAAUUUCAGUCAGAGAACCUUUACCUAUCUUAUGUUUCAGUUGCUGAUUGUCCCAAUUACCAUGGAACCGAUUCUCCUUUCUCUCUGCCUCCUCUUGUUUCUCCACAUCCUCACUCUCCUAGUGGCCAGUCAGUCGCCGCCUAUAUAUACUCCGGCCGAUGAUAUCACCCUUGACUGCGGCAAUUUGGGGCAACACUCAAAUAGCUAUGACUCCAGGAUUUGUGUGGAGACAUCAACUCAACAUUUUCCCCCAUACAAGAUGGUGAAACUAACACCACAUCACAAUUCAGAAAAGCACAUCCCUCAUUGUCGCAAUCCGCCAGCCAAGUCCCUUACACCACUGCUCGCCUUUCUUACUCGGAAUUCACUUACAUAAUUCCUCUUUCUCCUGGAAAAAAGUUCAUCCGCUUGCAUUUCAACCCUGCUUCAUACCCGGACUUCCACAGCUCGAACUCCCUCUUCUCUGUCACAGCUAGCCGCUACAUCCUGCUCAAAGACUUCAGAGCUUACAUCACUGCUGACGAUGCUUACAGGGAGAUGCCGCUGAUGAGAGAAUUCUGCAUCAACAUACAGACUGGACGUAGCUUGAACAUCACAUUCACUCCCAGCAAAGAUGCAUACGCUUUCAUCAACGGGAUUGAAAUUGUGUCUAUGCCUACCAAUAUUUACACCAGUUCAGUUCUUUCCAUCGACAGUGACAGCCCUUAUUCAAUCGAAGGCAGACAAGCUCUAGACAUGGUGUACCGAAUCAACAUAGGAAUAAAGCCAAUCAACUCUACUGAAGACACUGGAAUGUACUGAAAAUGGGACGCUGCCGAUGACAUGUAUUUGGAUGGUUUGAGUAAAAAGUCCAGCUUGCUAGCACAGAACAAUACAAUUGAGCUCAAUUUUGGUGAAACUCCAGAGUACUCUGCUCCAAAAGAAGUUUACAAAACAGGACGGUCAAUGUGGAUCAACAAGACCAUUAACAACAGCUACAAUCUCACCUGGUCAUUUCCUGUAGACUCUAACUUCUCCUACCUGGUAAGAUUGCAUUUUUACGAAUCACACUGGUGCUAGAAAACUGUUAAACAAGAAAGUUCCAACUUAGAGAGGACAACAAACUUGUUGCAUUUCCAAGUGACUUCUUCACAUCUAGAUAUUAUUUUGGCCAAAGGCAUGAGUCUCAUUCAUGAAAAGAAAAAGGAAACCUCCACUAAAAACACAAUGGACUGGACAACUAAAGCAAGAAGAAGAAAAACACUUCCACAAUAACAAAGACUUGAAUUAGAAAAUUAAACACACCAGUUUAGUAUUAUACUGUGAUGCUUGUGAUUCCAUAUCAUAAGCAGAGUAGCUUCCCUUGUUUCCAACUUCAUCCUCAUCCUCUCAUCUUUCAUCUUACACUACCUACCAUGAAACCAAUCACCACUCCUCUCUACCUCUCCUUGUUUUUCAUCACUCUCUUUCUCACCGGUCAGUCCCAACCAUACACUCCGGUCGACAAUAUCACCCUCGCCUGCGGCAAUUCCGGCCAACCGACCAAUGAUCUGCUCAGAACUUGGACAGGAGAUGUCAACUCCAAGUUCACCCCAAUAGGUAACGCAUCCGAAUCCAUAACUGCACCUAUGUCCUCCACAGCCAGCCAAGUCCCUUACACCAAAGCUCGUCUCUCUCGCUCUGAAUUCACUUACACUAUUCCCCUCUCUCCCGGCCAAAAGUUCAUCCGCUUACAUUUCAACCCCGACACAUACAACAACAACUUCCAACGCUCCAACUCCCUCUUCUCCGUCACUGCCGCCGGGUUCACUCUCCUCAAAGACUUCAACGCCUCCGUCACCGCCGACGCUUCCGGUGGCUCUCCGCUGGUAAAAGAGUUUUGUGUAAACAUCGAGACAGGACAGAGACUCGACAUCACCUUCACCCCAAGCAAAGAUGCCUACGCUUUCAUCAACGGAAUCGAAGUUGUGUCCAUGCCUACCGGUUUUUACUAUACUUCCUCACCUAAUUUCAUUGACACCAGCGCAAGCUCAUAUCCAAUCAGAAACGACACAGCUCUGGAGAUGGUGUACAGAAUCAACGUCGGCGGAGGCCCCAUAGCGCCGGACGAAGACACAGGAAUGUACCGGAAUUGGGACUCGGCCGAC
rnacentral:lncRNA from 1 species